UCCCAGAACGCAGGCACCGCCUCAGAAUCAGGAACUUCUUUGAAGGAUGGGAGAUAGUUUAGGUCCACUAUGACAUGGUCUCCGGUGCCCUCCUGAACCUUCAAAGCCAAAGAACACUCACUCAACAGGAACCAUAAUGGUUUGUAGCUGUACUGUACAACAAAGGGCCAGAGGAUACUUACGACAACAUCGAAUCCAAAAAUCGUUAGUCCAAGCAAUCCCUUCAGAAAUUUUGCAGCCUCUUCUACUAAAUCAGCAUCCACUGAUUUGCUGUCUCGCAUGCUCGCUUGCAGUUGCUGCUCCUUAGUAGCCACCGGAAGAGUCUUCAAACUGGCAGAAGCCAAAUUGAAGCAUAGUUCAGUGUCAGGCUCGGAACAGUGACUGAUAAUGAAGCAGUCCAACAAUUAUUAUAUGUGUAAUGUCUAAAGGGUACCUAUUAAAUGUAAGAGGUUCUCCUCCUGAUGAUGACUUCAGAAAACUUGCAUUAGGCAUUGAAUUCCUAAUCGCAUGGAAAACUUUGUCUCCAAUUACAUAAAAUUUAAAAAUCUUGGAUCCAUGAUCGACAUAUUCCUGAAAAUAUUCUUGAGCAGGUCACUUACUGAAAGCUACAUUGCGAAAGAAAGACUUAACCAGAAGGAAGAAAAUUCAAGAAAGGGAGCAAUGUUACACUACCUGUAGCACCGCUGGAAGAGGCACACCAAGGUUGCUAAGUUCUUCAAUUUGAAAAACUAAUGCCUGCACACAGCAAAAACUGUGAUUCAGCAGCGCGAGAAGUAAAGGCAAACUCGGAAUUUAGAAGGUUGGAAUUAAUGCGGUGGCACAUGUGAAUGCUUAAUUUUCUUCAUGGAACUGGUGAUAAGAGGUGAUGAUUCAGAAAAAUUAUUUCAUAUAUGGUCCAAAAUGUCAAAGAAUAAAAAUACAAUGACAAAAGGCAAACCAUAUUGUGGGCAUCAGCAACUCCGCAAGCUACUUGUGGUUUCACAAUGAGUGGGAAUGACAAAUUAGCUUCUGCUAGAUGCUUAUCUAAUUCACCAUCAUGAAAGUUAUCAACCUGUUUUAAAAAAUGGCUAGUCAGGCAAAUGAUAGCACUAAACAUUCAAACUAGGGGCCAAUAACUUAAAAUGGUAGCCAUAUUAAAAUGACCUUCAAAGAAUAUGGUGCUCGAAGUUUUGGCUUUCCUUCAGUGCCAAGUUCUUUUAAUCGGACUAGGAUAUUUUGGAUUUGAAGACGAUCAAGCAACGGGUAAAUAUUUUUAAAUGGA